GUGGCAUGCAUAUUGCAGAAAUCAUCGAUUAUAUGUUCCUCUUCAAUUUCCAUUACAUCAGUAAUAGUAGCUACUCAAACUCAAAUACACAUAAGAAGAAAAAGCCAAAAAAAAUAUAUGCUAAUACCCAUGAACAAUCCUAGAACACUUAUCUUUAAUCCAUUGGAUUCCAUUUCUGAACGUAGCCUUAACCUUCCCCUCCACUUUAUAAACUUUAUACCUCGCUAAUCUCUUCUUUCUCUUCCCCUCCGCAUCACCGCAAUCCCACGGUUUCCCCACCGCAGCUCCGCCGUAACUCGACCGGGCCAUCUCCGGAUCCAACCCAUACUUCUUACUCGAACCGUAACCGCUUUUACCGCUUACAAUCUGAGACCGGUGACCCGAUCCGUAGCCAUCCAUGGUGGUCAGAGAUAUGUGGUGGGAACUUGUUACUGAUGAGUGGUGAGGUUUUUUUUUUUUUACAUAUAGAAGUGGUGCUUUUAGGUUAAAGUUUCGAG
rnacentral:lncRNA from 1 species